rnacentral:rRNA from 1 species
AAUUGAAGGGUUUGAUCCUGGCUCAGAAUGAACGUUGGCGGCGUGGAUUAGGCAUGCAAGUCGAGCGAGAAAUUCUUUUUUGAUUUCUUCGGAAUGAUUAUUUGAAUGGACAGCGGCGCAAGGGAGAGUAACGCGUGGAAGUUUACCUUGAGGAUCGGGAUAGCUGUGGGAAACUACAGGUAAUACCGAAUAAUGUCUCCGGACCAAAUCUUUUUGGCCUCAAGAGAACUCCGCGUCCUACUAGCUUGUUGGUAGUGUAACGGACUACCAAGGCUAUGAUGGGUAGCGGGUGUGAGAGCAUGACCCGUCUCACUGGGACUGAGACACUGCCCAGACACCUACGGGUGGCUGCAGUCGAGAAUCUUCGGCAAUGGACGAAAGUCUGACCGAGCGACGCCGCGUGCGGGAUGAAGGCCUUCGGGUUGUAAACCGCUGUCAGAGGGGAGGAAAGCUUCGGCUUGACUGAACCUCAGAGGAAGCACGGGCUAAGUUCGUGCCAGCAGCCGCGGUAAGACGAACCGUCCAAACGUUAUUCGGAAUCACUGGGCUUAAAGAGUACGUAGGCGGACCAGUAGGGGCUUUGUGAAAUCCCUCGGCUCAACCGAGGAACUGCAGGGCAAACCCCUGGUCUCGAGACAGGUAGGGGUCGUCGGAACGCUAGGUGGAGUGGUGAUAUGCGUUGAUAUCUAGCGGAACGCCGAAGGAGAAGUCAGGCGACUGGGCCUGUUCUGACGCUGAGACACGAAAGCGUGGGGAGCGAACGGGAUUAGAUACCCCGGUAGUCCACGCCGUAAACGAUGUGCACUAGGUUGGGGAGGUUUUGACGCCGUUCCCGGCCGAAGCAAAAGUGUUAAGUGCACCGCCUGGGGAGUACGGUCGCAAGGCUAAAACUCAAAGGAAUUGACGGGGGCUCACACAAGCGGUGGAGCAUGUGGCUUAAUUCGAUGCAACGCGAAGAACCUUAUCCUGGGUUUGACAUGUAUGGAUUAACUCCCUGAAAGGGGAGCCACGCCCUCGUGGUGGAACAUACACAGGUGCUGCAUGGCUGUCGUCAGCUCGUGCUGUGAAGUGUCGGGUUAAGUCCCUUAACGAGCGCAACCCCUAUCGCUAGUUGCCAGC